rnacentral:rRNA from 1 species
GAUUUAAUCGUUGGUGUGCGGGGGAUACUGCUCGGCUAGGGGACGAGAGAGGCAGACGGUAUUCCCGGGGUAGGGGUGAGAUCCUAUAAUCCCGAGAAGACCACCAGUGGCGAAGGCUGUCUGCUAGAACGCGCCCGACGGUGAGGGAUGAAAGCUGGGGGAGCGAACCGGAUUAGAUACCCGGGUAGUCCCAGCUGUAAACGAUGCAGACUAGGUGUUUGGACGGCCACGUGCCGUUCUAGUGCCGCAGGGAAGCUGUUAAGUCUGCCGCCUGGGGAGUACGAUCGCAAGAUUGAAACUUAAAGGAAUUGGCGGGGGAGCACCACAAGGGGUGAAGCUUGCGGUUUAAUUGGAGUCAACGCCGGAAAUCUCACCGGGAGCGACAGCAGGGUGAAAACCAGAUUAAAGGUCUUGCUAGACGAGCUGAGAGGAGGUGCAUGGCCGUCGCCAGUUCGUGCCGUGAGGUGUCCUGUUAAGUCAGGCAACGAUCAAGACCCGCGUCCUCUGUUGCCACCAGUCUUGUGCUGGGCACACUGAGGAGACCGCCACUGAUAAAGUGGAGGAAGGAGCGGGCCACGGCAGGUCAGUAUGCCCCGAAUCUCCCGGGCCACACGCGAGCUGCAAUGGCAGGUACAAUGGGUUCCGACCUUGAAAAGGGGAGGCAAUCUCGAAAGCCUGCCGUAGUUGGGAUCGAGGGUUGUAACCCACCCUCGUGAACAUGGAAUCCCUAGUAAUCGCGUGUCACUAGCGCGCGGUGAAUACGUCCCUGCUCCUUGCACACACCCCCCGUAA